rnacentral:tRNA from 2 species
GGCCGCCUGGCGAAAUGGCAUCGCGUCUGACUACGAUUGUCAUUUGUUAUCAGGAGAUUGCAGGUUCGACCCCUGCGGUGGUCA